rnacentral:tRNA from 1 species
GGCCGGAUGUCGGAAUUAGGCAGACGAGCUGCACUUAGAAUGCAGUGCCAAAAGGCGUGAGGGUUCGAUCCCCUCUCCGGCCACCA